rnacentral:lncRNA from 10 species
GGUUUCAUUAGGAGGGGAAGAGAGACGUUAGAAAAGAGAAAAUGUCCAUCCAUCAUAGCCAAACUAGCCAAACUCUCUUACAUUAUCUCCUUCAAUCCUCCGAGCAACUCUGCAAGGGGCUUCUAGAAGCAGAGCUGAGGCUGGGAGAUUAAUGCUGUCCUCAAAGUGAAGAGUCACCACUACUUGUCAAGUCAUGUCAUCUCUGCAGCCACGUGCAUUUUGUAAACUGGGAAGAAUAAACAGACAUUUCUGAC